rnacentral:rRNA from 1 species
AGAGUUUGAUCCUGGCUCAGAUUGAACGCUGGCGGCAGGCUUAACACAUGCAAGUCGAGCGGGCGAGGUUGCUUCGGUAACUGAGCUAGCGGCGGACGGGUGAGUAAUGCUUAGGAAUCUGCCUAUUAGUGGGGGACAACAUUCCGAAAGGGAUGCUAAUACCGCAUACGUCCUACGGGAGAAAGCAGGGGCUCUUUAUGACCUUGCGCUAAUAGAUGAGCCUAAGUCGGAUUAGCUAGUUGGUGGGGUAAAGGCCUACCAAGGCGACGAUCUGUAGCGGGUCUGAGAGGAUGAUCCGCCACACUGGGACUGAGACACGGCCCAGACUCCUACGGGAGGCAGCAGUGGGGAAUGUUGGACAAUGGGGGGAACCCUGAUCCAGCCAUGCCGCGUGUGUGAAGAAGGCCUUUUGGUUGUAGAGCACUUUAAGUGGGGAGGAGGCUUACCUGGUUAAUACCUGGGCUAAGUGGACGUUACCCACAGAAUAAGCACCGGCUAACUCUGUGCCAGCAGCCGCGGUAAUACAGAGGGUGCGAGCGUUAAUCGGAUUUACUGGGCGUAAAGCGCGCGUAGGUGGUUAAUUAAGUCAAAUGUGAAAUCCCCGAGCUUAACUUGGGAAUUGCAUUCGAUACUGGUUAGCUAGAGUAUGGGAGAGGAUGGUAGAAUUCCAGGUGUAGCGGUGAAAUGCGUAGAGAUCUGGAGGAAUACCGAUGGCGAAGGCAGCCAUCUGGCCUAAUACUGACACUGAGGUGCGAAAGCAUGGGGAGCAAACAGAAAGAGAUACCCUGGUAGUCCAUGCCGUAAACGAUGUCUCCUAGCCGUUUGGGGGGUUUGUUCCUUUAGUGGCGCAGCUAACGCGAUAGGUAGCCCGCUUGGGGAGUACGGUCGCAAGACUAAAACUCCAAUGAAUUGACGGGGGCCCGCACAAGCGGUGGAGCAUGUGGUUUAAUUCGACGCAACGCGAAGAACCUUACCAAGGCUUGACAUCCCUUGACGGUCUAAGAGAUUAGAUUUUCUUUUCGGAGACAAGGAGACAGGUGGUGCACGGUUGUCGUCAGCUCGUGUCGUGAGAUGUUGGGUUAAGUCCCGCAACGAGCGCAACCCCUACAGUUAGUUGCCAUCAUUAAGUUGGGCACUCUAGCAGGACUGCCGGUGACAAACCGGAGGAAGGUGGGGAUGACGUCAAAUCAUCAUGCCCCUUAUGUCUUGGGCUACACACGUGCUACAAUGGGCAGUACAGAGGGCAGCGAAGCCGCGAGGUGAAGCGAAUCUCAAAAAGCUGUUCCCAGUUCGGAUUGCAGGCUGCAACUCGCCUGCAUGAAGCAGGAAUCGCUAGUAAUCGCAGGUCAGCAUACUGCG